rnacentral:tRNA from 1 species
GGGGUUGUGGCUCAGUGGUAGAGUGCCUGCCCAGCAUGUGUGAGGCACUGGGUUCAAUUCUCAGCACCCCA